GCUUGGAUCCAGCCUGGUGGAUCAAUGAAAGCCCUGACGCUCUACAGACUUGUUUUCCAGUGGCAUUGAUAAACCAGUGUUGCAAGAUCCUCAGCUCAGACUGGGCCUGGCUAACUGAUGGUUGUGAAACUUCCAACGGCGACAAGGGGGGGGGGGAAGGCAAAAAAAGAGCAAAAAAACCCCAUUCUCCCUGUGUUGCAAUUGUGAGUGCAAUCAGUUGCAAACAAUACUUCUUUCACUGGAUGCUCGGGUUUGUUUUAGUUGGGUUCAUGGGAAGUAUUUUCUCUAUAUUCAGCCUGAUGUGUCUGACCUGAGGGUUAAACCAAAGAAAUGUGCUUGCAGGAAAGUUGUGAAUGCAGGAUUCUGCCAUGGCAGCCCAAGUUCUGCCUUCAGCUAAUACCGUUUGUCUCAGGAUUGUGACUGCGUUGAGCAGUGGGACAGGGGAAUGGAAGAACAUCUGUAAGCUAAAAACCAAGCAGUGAGAAUCACCAGGAUUGGAAGUACUUGAUUAAUGAGCAAUGCUUUAAUGAAGAUAUUUGCUGUGAAACAGCUCCAGGGGCCGCACUGGUGCUUCAAAGCAUUCUUCCUCAUCUGCUUGGGCAGCGAUGGUUUUGGCUGUUCUGUGCCAUAGAUAAAUGAGAGGAUGCAGAUGACCCUAUUCCCCUUGCUGAGCAUUUCAGCAGCCUGCUUUGGCUCAAAGUGUAGAUCUGCCUCUGUGAUGGCCACUCCCAGAGUAUUCAGCCCUGAGGAUAUUCAUGUCUGGACUGAUGAAGCUGAGCUUUAUUCCCAGCUUCUCACUGAGAAUAUGGACGAUUUUCUUCUCCUUGCAUUUUCCCCAAAGCCUUCCUAGUUUAAAGCUCAGUGGGUUCGCUCUG